rnacentral:rRNA from 1 species
AGUGAACGCUGGCGGCGUGCUUAACACAUGCAAGUCGAACGAGAACGGAAUAUAGCUUGCUAUAUUUGUCAGCUAAGUGGCGCACGGGUGAGUAAUGUAUAGAUAACCUGCCCUUAAGAAAGGAAUAACAGUUGGAAACGACUGCUAAUGCCCUAUAUGCCUUUAAUACAUAAGUAUGCAAGGGAAACGCUUUAGUGCUUAAGGAUGGGUCUGUAUGGUAUCAGCUUGUUGGUGAGGUAAUGGCUCACCAAGGCUAUGACGCCUAACUGGUUUGGGAGGAUGAUCAGUCACACUGGAACUGGGACACGGUCCAUACUCCUACGGGAGGCAGCAGUGGGGAAUAUUGCACAAUGGACGAAAGUCUGAUGCAGCAACGCCGCGUGGAGGAUGACACAUUUCGGUGCGUAAACUCCUUUUAUAUAGGAAGAUAAUGACGGUACUAUAUGAAUAAGCACCGGCUAACUCCGUGCCAGCCGCCGCAGUAA